rnacentral:lncRNA from 1 species
CACAGGUGGCCACUACGCGCACAGGAGGGGCAGCGACUGGGGGGUUCCGGUACCCCAAGGCACCCUCUCGGAUCGCUAGAGAAGGCUUUCUCACCAAGGGCGCGUCGACCCCCACCCAAUUCGUCCCCCCCAUCGGGAACCCGCCAAACAAAAGGCGUUUCUUCCCGGGGCCACCAGGACCCAGGGCGGGGGAGAAAGGUCCACGGCAACGGAGUGACACAGGGCAUUCCGGAGCAUUCGCGGUCAGGGCCCACAACAAGGGCCGCCUGCCUUCCCCACGCGCGCUGUUGCUCGUGUCGCCGCCCGGAAGGAGCGCCGCGCCUCCGGGUGAGGCCCGAGAAAAACCGAGGCAAAACACCGGCAGCAACGCGCUGGGCAAGAAACCGACAGUCCUCGCUCAGAGGGGGGUUUUGGCCAAGCGCCACGGCGCCGGCUCGGCCCGCCACGAUCGCUCAACUCGCCCCACCAAGUCAGUCCCCCGCACCCUCCGGGCAACAGCGGCCGUUGCGGGGCGGGAACGACAAGGCGCCCGCUCCCCACAGCGGGGGGAACGGGUGUGCCUCCCUUCACCGAUUCUGCCACCCGCCCACCUCGGGCAUCUCCGCCAAUGGCGGUGACCCAAAGGGGGGUCCGCUGGGAACAGGGAACGGCACCACCACUCGGCUUCAGGCACCUGAGACGACCUGGAGCGCUCCAGGGGCACCACGGAGGGCCAGGCGCCACGCGCUCAGCACGCCCAGGCGGCGAGCAGCGUGGCAUCGGGUGCGCCCCCCCCACCACGGGGAGGAGGUCACCCACCACAAACAGCCAGGAGAGGCCAGCGAGAGUGUCCGCUGCGUCAGCCGACCCCAGUCCCGCAGCGACGGGAGGCCGGGGUCGGGCCGGAGUCCGCACCCCUCUGCACCCCCCCGCACCGCCCACAGGCGGGAAGGAGGAGCAUGGGGCCCGCAGGCAGAACGAGAAGAGCGGUCCCACCCACCAGGAGUGUCCGUCCCUCGUCUGACACGGCUUAGGCCCGGCCCGGGAGAGCGCGAGAUCACCACAUCGAUCGGUUACCGCCACACGAGGCAGUCCUGGGGUGAGGGGGGGCUGGGGAAACGCCCGGCGAGGACAGCGACCAGAGGAGGGCCUGCUUCCGCCUCGCCGGCCCCCCUCCCCCACCUCUCCCAGGGAACAGGCAGCCGGACAACCCACAAGAGAAAAGGGGAACGCCUGACACGCGGCACGGAGCCUUGCGAGGGUGGGUUUGUCACGGCCGCGGCCGGGUGCCCACAGCGGGGAGCGCACAGGGUAGAAGACCCACGCCGCCUCCCCACGCCGCCCUCGGGUGCCAGAGACCGGAGGUGGCGCCACAGCCUGGACCACACCUGGAUGCACAAGAGCCGGCGCGCAGGCCCAGGCAGACGGCUCGAGCAAGCAGGCAGGCAAGGGCGGAGUCGGGUCCGGCUCAGCGUCACCGCCAAGCCCGGAGCCACGCCAGGGACGACGAGGCCCAAGUCUCUCUUACGGCAUGACCACCGCCACAUCAGAACGUGUCAGCACCUACCUGGCAGCAAAAAGCACCCCUUUCAGGAGACAAAAAUAACCGCGUUGGCAGGCGGGGCCGAGCCACAGGUCACUGGGACCUUCUGGGACCCUGGCCCGGCCACGAGCCCCAAGCAUCUUCCCAUUGCCGCCGAGCAACCACCUCCCCCCCGGAAGUCCCCGGGGGCCAUCUGGUCGACCCCAGGACCGACCGACCGACCGACCGACCGACCGACCGACCGACCGACCGACCGACCGACCGACCGACCGACCGACCGACCGACCGACCGACCGACCGACCGACCGACCGACCGA